rnacentral:snRNA from 1 species
UUACUAUAUUUAUACCACGAUCACAAAGGUGGUUUUCCCAGGGUGAGGUUUAUCCAUUGCAAUCUGGAUGUGCUGACACCUGCAAAUUCCCCAAAUGUGGGAAACUCAAUUGCAUAAUUUGUGGGAGCGGGGGCUGCAUUCAUGCUCUCUCCUG